rnacentral:rRNA from 1 species
GACAGAGGGUGCGAACGUUGCUCGGAAUCACUGGGCGUAAAGCGCGCGUAGGCGGACCGGAAAGUCGGUUGUGAAAUCCCUGGGCUCAACCCAGGAACUGCAUCCGAAACUCCCGGUCUCGAGUGACGGAGAGGAUAGUGGAAUUCCCGGUGUAGAGGUGAAAUUCGUAGAUAUCGGGAGGAACACCAGUGGCGAAGGCGGCUAUCUGGACGUCCACUGACGCUGAGGCGCGAAAGCGUGGGGAGCAAAC